AUGGUGAAGUUUGGUGAUGCCACCUACACCGAGGAGAGAGCUGUCGAGAAGCUUUUUCGGUGCAUUCCCGAGAAGUACAAGCAGAUGGCUCGCUCGAUCGAGUCGUUGUUGGACCUCUCCACGAUGACGAUCGAGGAGGCGAUAGGCCGUCUCAAGGUCGAGGAAGAGACGGCUCUGUUCAUGGCGCAUGCAAGCAUUGAGCUAUCCUCAGCGACACCAGUCGCAAAAGCUCUCAUCCACCUCGACGAGCCAAAAGCACACGCUCUUCUCGGCGAUGGCUCCGGGAAGGACAAGACUACGGGGUGGUGCCUCGACACCGGCGCCACCCACCACAUGACCGGUCGAAGGGAAUUCUUCGCCGAGCUCGACUCCGAUGCGCGAGGCUUCGUCAAGUUUGGGGAUGCCUCCGCUGUGGAAAUUAAGGGCGUCGGCUCCGUCAUCUUCACCACCAAGGCGGGAGAGCACCGGCUGCUCACCGGUGUCUACUACAUCCCCGCGCUAAGGAACUCCAUCAUCAGCUUGGGACAGCUGGAUGAGAACGGCUCACGCGUGCUGAUUGAGCAUGGGGUCCUAUGCAUCUGGGAUCGCCAGGGUCGCCUUCUCGCCAAGGUACCCAGAGGUGGAAAUCGACUUUACGUCCUUGAUGUGCAGGUGGCACAACCGGUCUGUCUCGCUGUCCGUCGGGACGAUGAGGCGUGGCAAUGGCAUGAGCGCUUUGGGCACCUUCAUUUUGAGGCCCUGAAGCGUCUAAGUGCCAAGGAGAUGGUGCGAGGCCUGCCAUGCCUCGACCAUGUGGAGCAGUUCUGCAACAUCUGCGUGAUGACGAAGCAGAGACGACUCCCCUUUCCCCAACAGGUGAGUUUUCGGGCCAAGGAGAGGCUGGAGCUCGUGCACGGAGACCUGUGCGGCCCGGUGACGCCAGCCACACCAGGAGGUCGACGCUACUUCCUGCUGCUCGUCGACGAUCUCUCCCGUUACAUGUGGGUGAUGAUCCUCGGCAGUAAGGGAGAGGCGGCGGACGCCAUCAGGCGCGCGCAGGUUGGUGUGGAGGCGGAGAGCGGCCGCAAAUUGCGCGUGUUGCGCACUGACAACGGCGGCGAAUUCACGGCGGCUGAAUUCGCGUCGUACUGCGCCGAUGAGGGCAUCCAGCGCCACUACUCCGCGCCGUACAGCCCGCAGCAAAACAGCGUCGUCGAGCGGCGCAACCAGACGGUUGUGGGGAUGGCUCGAGCUCUCCUCAAGCAGAGAGGGAUGCCGGCUGUCUUCUGGGGAGAGGCAGUGCUAACAGCCGUCUACAUCCUAAACCGCUCGCCUACCAAGGCACUCGACGGCAGGACAGCGUACGAGGCCUGGCAUGGGCGGAAGCCGGCGGUCUCCCACUUGCGGGUCUUUGGCUGCCUUGCGUUCGCCAAGGAGCUCGGUCACAUCGGCAAGCUCGACGACAGGAGCACUCCGUGA
rnacentral:rRNA from 1 species